rnacentral:rRNA from 1 species
GGUAGUAGCAAAUACUCAAGUGAGAACCUUGAGGACUGAAGUGGAGAAGGGUUCAUGUGAACAGCAGUUGAACAUGGGUCAGUCGGUGCUAAGGGAAAGGCGAAGUUCUUUCCGAAGCGAGAGCACUUUUUUGCAGUGGAGAGAGCCUCGCAGAGACCGAAAGGGAAUCGGGUUAAUAAUCCCGAACCCGGACACGGAGAUUGGUCCUUCGGGGCCCAGUGCGGUAACGCAAACCAGCUCGGAGACGCCGAUGCAAGCCCCGGGAAGAGUUUUCUUUUCUCUGUAAGGAGAUCGAGUCCCUGGAAUGGGUUCGCCCCGAGAUAGGAAUGGUGGCUCCGUAGAGCAGUGCGGCUCUUGCGCUGUCCGGUGCGCUCGCGUCUGCCCUUGAAAAUCCGAGUGAGGGAGUGUGAUUUUCAAGCCGGACCGUACCCACAUCCGCAGCAGGUCUCCAAGGUGAACAGCCUCUAGUC